AGAGUUUGAUCAUGGCUCAGAACGAACGCUGGCGGCGUGGAUAAGACAUGCAAGUCGAACGCUGAUUUCAGGGUAGCAAUAUUCUGAAGUUGGAGUGGCGCAAGGGUGCGUAACACGUGGGUAAUUUGCCGUGAAGCCCGGAAUAACUCGCUGAAAGGCGAGCUAAUACCGGAUGUGAUUUUUGGAGGGCAUCCUCUGGAACUCAAAGCUGGGGACCGCAAGGCCUGGCACUUCUCGAUAAGCCCGCGGCCUAUCAGCUAGUUGGUGAGGUAAUGGCUCACCAAGGCUAAGACGGGUAGCUGGUCUGAGAGGACGACCAGCCACACUGGAACUGAGACACGGUCCAGACACCUACGGGUGGCAGCAGUCGAGAAUUUUUCACAAUGGGCGAAAGCCUGAUGGAGCGACGCCGCGUGGGGGAUGAAUGGCUUCGGCCCGUAAACCCCUGUCAUUUGCGAGCAAACCUUAUCAUUUAAAAGAUGAUGAGCUGAUUGUAGUGAAAGAGGAAGGGACGGCUAACUCUGUGCCAGCAGCCGCGGUAAUACAGAGGUCCCAAGCGUUGUUCGGAUUCACUGGGCGUAAAGGGUGCGUAGGUGGCCGGGUAAGUCUGACGUGAAAUCUCCGAGCCUAACUCGGAAACUGCAUCGGAUACUAUCCGGCUUGAGGGUUGGAGGGGGGACUGGAAUACUUGGUGUAGCAGUGAAAUGCGUAGAUAUCAAGUGGAACACCAGUGGCGAAGGCGAGUCCCUGGACAACUCCUGACACUGAGGCACGAAAGCUAGGGGAGCAAACAGGAUUAGAUACCCUAGUAGUCC
rnacentral:rRNA from 1 species